UGGGGAAUAUUGCACAAUGGGCGCAAGCCUGAUGCAGCCAUGCCGCGUGUAUGAGGAAGGCCUUCGGGUUGUAAAGUACUUUCAGCGGGGAGGAAGGCGAUAAGGUUAAUAACCUUGUCGAUUGACGUUACCCGCAGAAGAAGCACCGGCUAACUCCGUGCCAGCAGCCGCGGUAAUACGGAGGGUGCAAGCGUUAAUCGGAAUUACUGGGCGUAAAGCGCACGCAGGCGGUCUGUCAAGUCGGAUGUGAAAUCCCCGGGCUCAACCUGGGAACUGCAUUCGAAACUGGCAGGCUAGAGUCUUGUAGAGGGGGGUAGAAUUCCAGGUGUAGCGGUGAAAUGCGUAGAGAUCUGGAGGAAUACCGGUGGCGAAGGCGGCCCCCUGGACAAAGACUGACGCUCAGGUGCGAAAGCGUGGGGAGCAAACA
rnacentral:rRNA from 1 species